UCACCCCAGGAACUGGUUCAAGGCUGGUAUGGUGGCCACAGUAUCUAUUAAUUGCUCACCAGAACCAAACCCAGGUAUGUUUUUUUUUCUUACCCAUCAGUCCUCUAGGAUAUCUUGAUGUGCGUUGUCAUGUCCCUUCAGGAUCAGUGGCAGGGCAUAGGAAAUGAGAGCACAUAGGCAGAAAACAUGCAUUCACAUGGGAAUUAUGUGGUUUUCUCUCUCAGAGAACUUGUUUACCUUCUGGUCAGCUGUGUUUGAGCAUUUUUAACCAUGUCAGCACUAAUGGUGUCCAGACAAGGACUCUACAUUUUUUGGUUUUACAUUCGGGUCUUGAAUGGGGUAUACUCUGACUGGUUGUAAUAGAUUUUCUGACAAUGUUGAAUUCCAGACUAGUGAGUUUUUAAACAUUCUGCUUCUAUCUUAACACACAUAACAGUGUGCAUUGGGGUGUAUAUUUCAUGGACACCUUGCCAUUGGGCUUGCUUCAAACUGCAUUAUAGUGUCUGUGUAGAACCAACCAGAGGCCCUGCAUGAAAUAGCAUCCCCUCUGCAGCUCAUCAUGAUGUAGUGAAGGAAACUGUUUUAACCCCGCCCUCCACAGUCUCUCAGUAGUGGCAAGGACCACCACUAAAGUGAAAAACUGCAAACAAAAACUAGAAUUUAUUUUAAUUGAAAGAACAUAAUUUCUAGGUCUCUGUGGUCAACUUCCACUGGGAAUUGGCCCUAGAAUCACAUUGGAGGAACUAGAGAUUUCUAGAAAAGUGCCCUCCCUAGAAAUAUCCAUAACAUAAUUGUUAUGAUUGAGCCUCAUGGCUCUGUUACUGGCAGACGUGGGCGUAAGACUCCUCGAGAGUCAGAUACUCUCGAGGAGCGAGAAAGAAAGAGACUGCGAGAUAUCUUUGCAGCACCAUCUGACGAAGAGUCUUUUGAGGGGUUUACGGAGAGAAUGGAGGAGGGGCUGGUUAGCUCGGAAGAGGAUGAGAUGGAUUGGACUCGGGUGAGGGAGGAAUUGGAUGCCACUGGCAAUGAUGGGAUGGAAGAUGAAUGGGGACCUUCAGGAUUAGACCCAUGGACAAGCUCGAGGGAUGGGACGGGAUCCACAGCUGGGGAUGCUGUGGGGCGUAGUCAGAGGUGUUCCAGCUCUGAUGAGGAAAGUGAUGAGGAAACGCCCGGGUUAAGGAGGGCAGCUGAUAGUGAUGAGGAUUUGUAACUGGCAUAAAAUGAGGCUUGGGAGCAAUUGCAAAUUGCGUUGGGCAAGGUAAUCUGGACGAACGCUUGGGAUCUGUGUGGGACGCUUUCCUGAAGACUGGUGUGUUUUCGUGUGCUGAUACCUUUGACCUUCCGUCGUCUUCUUGACGGACGCCAUCUCCUGCUUUGGAUUUCGGACUGAACUGACCACGGCUUGACUUCCCCCUACUCGGACUUGGUGAAACUACAAACGUCUGGCUUGAACUACGGAAAGGAACUGGGUCUACUCUACUGCUUCAAUCCUCGGCUGAUCUGUGUGUAUUGGAAAUCUUGCCUGCUGUGUGGAGGAGUGACUCAAGUUACUCAAAGCACAGUGCUGGCAGCAGAGAGGAAUCUGCUGCCAAUUAAUUGCAUUCUUUUGAACACUUUGUUCCCCAGCUUCCGUUUUGUUUAUCCCCAGGCUGAAGCAAGCUGUUUUGUUUUUACCCGGAUUAAACUCCGGUUUAAUCCGGUUUAUCUUUUGAACGUUUUUCCUUGCCCCUUUUUGCUUUUAAAGGCUAAUACUGCCUGGCCCUUGUAUUUUACGGGCAUUUUGAGUUCUGUUAUCCAAUAAACUCUGUUAUCUUU